UUGGAUUGAAUUUCCAGAUCUAAUCCUGGCCCUUGUUUGUUAUGACUUGUUUUAAUACAUUAUGCAGCGCAUUUGACUUUGGCCUAUGGUGGGAGCGCGCAUCUGGAGCGUGUGAUCUGCCAGCUCAAUUAAUGAGCUCAGAUCUAACGCUCCUGGUUUUUUGGAAUUUUUAUUUUUCUGAUUUAAUAUCUUUUAUUUCCAUUUAUUUCAAAAAUUCAUAACUCUUUCAUUUUAAU
rnacentral:lncRNA from 1 species